CUUAUCAGUUUCUUCUGGCACGUUCUAUUGAAAUGGGAAUCGGAUGAAAGCAAAACUGAAACCGUCCAAAACCCACCAUGGCCCUCAAACUUGGAAACGCAUUUCCUUCCCUCCCAUGUUUCGCGGAGCAAGAAUCCUCAUCUACUCACUGCAUAAAAAGAUUGAAGGAAAAAGAACUGGAGCAAUCAAUAUUGGAACCCCCAGUCUGCUCAUCAAUCUGGUAGUUCAUGUCUUUGUGUGGCUGAUUUUCUCUUUGCCUGUUCACCGGGAAGAUCACAGCGCGGAAACUCCAGAGAGGAUGCCCCAAUGACUGACCAGAUUGAUGAUGAUGGCUAUGAGGAUGAUGAUGACCAAGAAGCCGAGUUUGAGAUGUUCAGGGAACACUCAGAGAGUGGGUUACAAGAGAUGAAGUGCAAAGAUUUAUAGCCAAGAAGUUCAAAGAAUUUCUGCUCACCUUUGUGAAUGACAUUGAAUAUGUGCGCCUCAUUAAUGAGAUGGUAUUAGGCAGAUCCAUUUGAAUCCCUUGAUUCGUAUUGGAGACGUUGUGACCCGACGCUCCGGGGUCUUUCCCCAAUUGCCACAAGUAAAGUAUGAUUGCAAUAAAUGUGGGGCAAUUUUGGGGCCAUUCCUUCAGAACUCUUAUUCAGAAGUUAAAGUUGGUUCUUGCCCUGAAUGCCAAUCAAAAGGACCGUUCAGUGUCAAUAUUGAGCAGUCAUUAGUUCAAGAACUCGAAGUUCAGAAUUGCUUCAAUGACUCCGGUUCCAUGCUUUCUAUUUAAUAAUCUUCAGUCUGCAGAGUAUCAACUCUUUAAAUGAUGGAAUCGCCUCUCACCUCUCUCUCUCUGACGCAUAAGGGUUCCAUAAGUAGCAGAGGGAACUAUAUUUAAGGGGAUUAUUUUUUAUACAAGAAUUAAAAGCAAAAUGAGGAUCAGAGUUGGAGGGAGUUCAAGAGUAACAUGAAAGCAUAACAAAAGGGAAGCAUCAUGGUGGUGACUCAACAUAAGCACCGAUCAUGACUUCUUCGAGCAGUGAACCGAAGUCGCUCUUCUUCGUGGACAAGUCCAAAGGUGCCUCAUUCAUACCUUUGUUUUUUUGUUUUUUGUUUCGAGUGACAUAAUUGCCUUUUUUCGCAGCCGAUAAUAACACAUCCAUAAUGACACACUACGAUAGACUUAUUCUGAAACAUAAGUCUAUUGUUUUGAUGGAUUGUUUUAGUAUUCUUAAUAUCUUGCUUCAUAUUAAGCUUUUUAGUUGUUUUGGUGUGUGUGUGUGUGUGUGUGUUUUUUUUUUUUUUUUUGGGUAAAUUCUGAUCCAAUUUGCUGCACGAGGCUUCCAAAGAAGAUACUAGCAAGAGAGCAUAAAAUUGCUGGAGGAGGAGGUUCAUGUACAAGCAGUAGCUAAAAGGAUUUCAUGAUCUUAAUUUAAUUGUCAUGAACUUUUUGUUUUUUCGUUUCCUUUUUUUUUUUUUGGUCUGAACCACGAGGUGGUCCUG